UUUUAUCAUCGUCUGAGGCGGCAAGCUAGCAAAGCAGGGCUCAUUUUUAACUUUUGUUAAAACCUUACAUUUUGUUAUGUAUUGUGGAAAGGAGAUGAUUCGAAUGGAUGGACAUGACCAAAACACAUUGAACAUGUGGUUCAGCAUAUCUCAACGAGUCGGUUGUCCUUGAAGUCAAGAGAUGCAUGCUGACAAUAAAGGUACACACAUUUCUGUGGUGCCAAGAUCAUGGGUCCCUCUCACCUCUGCUGUAAUUGGCCUACUGGUGGUUCAGGAUAUUUUAACAAGUCACUGUCCUUGAAGUCACAUGAUGUGCGGCAUUGAGACCAGAUGCAUGAAGGGCCAAAGCAUAGAAAUGGAAUGACACAGAUUCUAUUUCCGUGGCGCCAAGAUCCAUGGAUCCCUCUCACCUCUGCUGUAAUUGGCCUACGUGUGGGUUGGCAUCUCAUCGUGUCCGAUGUCCUUGAUGAACUCACAUGAUGGGGCGUCUAUUGAGACCAGAUGCAUGAUGACAAUGAAGGGGCAAAGCAUGGAAAUAUAUUAUUAACAGAUUCGAUUUCUGUUAGAAAUGGGUCCCUCUCACCUCCGCUGUAAUUGGCCUACUGGUGGUUCAGGAUAUUUUAACAAGUCACUGUCCUUGAAGUCACAUGAUGUGCGGCAUUGAGACCAGAUGCAUGAAGGGCCAAAGCAUAGAAAUGGAAUGACACAGAUUCUAUUUCCGUGGCGCCAAGAUCCAUGGAUCCCUCUCACCUCUGCUGUAAUUGGCCUACGUGGCCUACCCUGGACAAACACGGACAACGCUGGGCCAAUUGUGCUCCACCCUAUGGGACUCAAUCACGGCCGGAUGUGAUACAGCCUGGAUUCGAACCAAGGACUGUAGUGACGCCGUCUCUGCACAUUCUCUGCAACUCUUCCACGUGUCCUUGGUGUAUAAGAGAUUCUUUUGUCUAUAUAACUGUUCAAAUAAUGGUUAAUAAUCUAAUGGGGGCUCCAUUAAAAUGUAUUCUGUACGUUAUUCUUUAAAUGUUACUGUCAAUAGGCUUAUUACAAAUAUGCAUUGAGAAACAAUAAAUGAUCUGAGUCCGUGUCAAUGUUUAAAUCAGAUAAAUUGAGGUCUGGGGGGAAACGAACACAUUUGAGUUGAAUUCUCCUUUAAUUAUGCAAGAAAGGAAUGUCAGUCUAGCUAUGUUUCUGCUGUUAGCACGCUGCAGCACAGCUACAGUGCAAAACAAUGGCUACCCAAUUGAUGCCGAUAUUGUUAUGUUUGGCUUUUUAAGCCGAUGGUUGCUAACCAGGGGUGGGAUAAUGUCACUGUGCCGUUGAUUGGAUAGCAGCCGGGAGCUUUGUUUAUGACCGUUUGCGAUAGAACGCAAAAAAAUAAAAGCAAGCAUUUUCACAAUUGUUGGAGACCCCUGGUAUAAAGUUUCCUAACCCAUCUGUUUGAACCCCCAAGGAGGUGAUGCCCUGCUGUGCCCCUCUUCAGCCCAGUGGGUUCUGACUGGUCAGUUGAUGCACUUCCUCUUGUGUUAGGUUUUGCACCACUUCCUGGUUCCAACAAAUGUCCUGAUGGAGUGAAGGAGCAGAAUCAAACUAACCGUUGAUGUUUUGACUGAUGUAUAUUCAUAGAACGAGAUUAAAUGUUAUGUAUAGUUGUGUAUUGUCAUCAGGAGAACUAUUUGUCAAAGAUUCAGUGAAGUAUGAUAUUAUCAACUUCCUCAAGGAGAAGGUAGCAAGCAACAAAUGCUACAACCAUGGAAAAUGUAUUCAUGACAAUGUUAUUGCAAUGACCUUGCAGGGGGCUCUAACAACUUGACUCUCAGCCAAGACCAUAUCACAUUUGUGUGAAUGUAUUUCUGGAACAUGCUGUUCUCUUGGUGUAAACUAAUGUGGCAUGAUGUCAGAACUGUAGUUUUGCCUUACAAUUGUUCAUGACUCAUCAAUAAAAUUA